rnacentral:tRNA from 1 species
GGAGAGAUGGCAGAGUGGUUGAAUGCACUGGUCUUGAAAACCAGAAUGUCGGAAACGGCAUCGAGGGUUCGAAUCCCUCUCUCUCCG